GUGAAAUGGGAGUCGAACGGCUAGACAUGCCAUACAAUGUUGCCUUCUUUUCCGCAAUACCCUGAUUACCCAAUUCCUGAUGUACAUUCCGAUUCGUGUCUCUACUGCAGAACUUUAGCUCAUAGAGCAGAAAACUCGUAUCAUCUCUCUAUGUAUGGUGUCGAGCAAUGGAACUGCAGUGAUCUGGCAGUGUGACUGUUGACCUCCUUGACACCAUUCACGUUCGUCGCUCUGAACCCACUCAGCAGACAAGUUGGCAUAGACAUGUUUACAUCAGCAAUCUUUUCUUUGAGAUAUCUGGUGGCCUUUCGUAACCAUCGAAUUCAAGUCAUCUUUGAGUACAUGACAUCUUCUGAAGUUCGUGCCAUCAUGCUUUAGUUUUCCCACAUGAGCUGAGAUUAUUCAAAUAAAAAGACGGUCUCAGGCACAAGAGCAUGAUGUGCUUCCGCCAGUUGCUUUCACACCAAGGCCACGCGGUUGAUCAUCUAAGCGCACCUAUGAAGUUGACCAACAAGGAAGUUGGCCAGAGCUACUAAUUAGUAUGCCUAAUUGCUAUUGCUUUGUAGUUUGACCGCCUCUACCGUCAGUAUGCCUGGCUUUUGCUUUCUUAUUAUGUUCCUGCUAUUAGUACUUCCUCUCUCGUGUUCGUGCUCUUAGUAUUGAACUUAAUGUUGUAGUUAUUAGCUUUUGUGGUCUAAUGAACUAACUGAGUGUUUAUAAUUUCAUGACGAUGUUGAACUCGAUAACUAAAUGAUCAUUAUCUGCUUGACCAUAUCGUUGGGACCGGCACCCUUGCGCCAAGCCGUGGUCCCGAUCUAGUACCCAAGACUAGACAGGUGUUCGCCGAUAUAUCUACAUAUCGUCUGAUAUAUCACCCGAUAUCUGACAUCUGAUAUGUCAAAACCGAUACAAACCUGAUAUCCGAUAUUUUGAAGCUUGGUGUGGUCUCCUACUGGAUUGAUACUUUGGUUCUUAAAAAUUGAAGGAAAUACUUACACUGCUUUCCUGCAUCACCCUUUCGUCUUUAAGGGAAAAACAACGCAGUGCUCAAGAGGUAUCAAGAAGGAUUCCUGGCAUCGUCGCCGGGGAGAUAUACGCCAAGUCAAGACAUACCAAGUACCCAUCACAACUCUUAUCCUUUGCAUUACAUUAUUUGUCAUUUGCCUCUCGUUCUCCUCUCCUCUACUUCAUCCUUGCCAUUUUAUUCGCCCUCUCUUUCCCGUACGCCUCUUUCUCGCUUACCUCUUGUUGCUUGUUACCCUUAUGGAUUUACCAAAAGGAGUUGAUCCUCACCUUACAAGGUUGGAAGAAAUCGAAAACAACAUUAGAAGUUUUAUGUCCUUGCAGUUUGAGC